rnacentral:rRNA from 1 species
CAUUCGAGUGGCGGACGGGUGAGUAACGCGUGGGUAACCUGCCUUACACAGGGGGAUAACACCUGGAAACAGGUGCUAAUACCGCAUAAGCGCACAGGGCCGCAUGGCCCGGUGUGAAAAACUCCGGUGGUGUAAGAUGGACCCGCGUCUGAUUAGCUUGUUGGCGGGGUAGGGGCCCACCAAGGCGACGAUCAGUAGCCGGCCUGAGAGGGUGGACGGCCACACUGGGACUGAGACACGGCCCAAACUCCUACGGGAGGCAGCAG